CUUUGUGGAAGUGGGUCAGCGGCUGGUCCGGGUUCGGGAUCGGGAUCGGGAUCGGGAUCGGGAGGGGGUCCUCGCCCCCUUGGACGGGGAGCCGGAGACGGAUUAUUCUCUGCGGGGCAACACCAACAAUUUCCAUUCAACCUGUGGUGAGAGGUUUAUUGGAAGAAAAACCCCAACUGGAAGCAAACCAUGGCUAAAGAUGUGGGAAUAGCAACAAGUGAACUGGCCCGAGGACUGAGAGCAUCAACUGGAGAGAACAACACUGAAUCAGCUGACUUGGAGUUCCCAGUGAGUCAGUGAGGAGGAAGUUUGUUAGACCUGCGAUGAGAGGUUUCUUGGAAGAAAAACCCCAACUAGAAGCAAACCACGGCUAAGACAAGGGAACAGCAACAAGUGAACCAGCCCGAGGACUGAGAGCACCGACUGGAGAGAACCCAUCUGACUCAGGGUUUCCAUUGAUUCAGUCAGGAGAAAGUCUGACGACGCACUCUAUAUACAGUUGUGGCGACCCAUUUCCUGGCACAUCCGAACCAGCUCACAAUUAGCCAGCAUUCCGGCUAAGGGAGAUAGCCUGCGGGGAUUUGUGAGCACAGAGCUUUGGAGCCUCUGCGCCACGGGGGACAGGUUGAGGGAGGCUUAAAAGUGAAGCUGGGGAUUUCGAAUAAAGUUUUUUUUCUUCGACUGCAGUUACCGACUCUGUGUCGUAAUUUUAGCGCUGCAUGUAGCACACCACUACACAUUGACCUUUGUUGAGGUGCAGCGUAUUACUCCACAUUUGCGCCUUACUCUUUGUUCGGCUCGACCUAUUUGUGUGAACAGGCGUUCAGCGUCAUGAACAUCAACAAAGCCAGCCACAGAU